rnacentral:rRNA from 1 species
AGGGAAUCUUCCGCAAUGGACGAAAGUCUGACGGAGCAACGCCGCGUGAGUGAAGAAGGUCUUCGGAUCGUAAAACUCUGUUGUUAGGGAAGAACAAGUAUCGUUCGAACAGGGCGGCGCCUUGACGGUACCCGGCCAGAAAGCCACGGCUAACUACGUGCCAGCAGCCGCGGUAAUACGUAGGUGGCAAGCGUUGUCCGGAAUUAUUGGGCGUAAAGCGCGCGCAGGCGGUCUUUUAAGUCUGAUGUGAAAGCCCACGGCUCAACCGUGGAGGGUCAUUGGAAACUGGAAGACUUGAGUGCAGAAGAGGAGAGUGGAAUUCCACGUGUAGCGGUGAAAUGCGUAGAGAUGUGGAGGAACACCAGUGGCGAAGGCGACUCUCUGGUCUGUAACUGACGCUGAGGCGCGAAAGCGUGGGGAGCAAAC